GCCUGACUCGCUCAGUAGGUAGAGCAUGUGACUCUUGAUCUCAGGGUCAUGAAUUCAUGCCACAUGUUGGGCA
rnacentral:tRNA from 1 species